rnacentral:lncRNA from 13 species
UUUUAGUUAUGUUUAUUCUAAAAUGAAGCAAUUUCAAAUUUGCUGCUCUGGAGAUACAGAUUUUUCUCAUUGUAAUGUUUUUUUUUCUCUUCUGUGUCCUGAUUGCUGUUCACUGAAUCAAAUCUCUAUGGCUUUUCAAAGCUAAACUUUUACAGCACCAGUAAUAAUCUCAUUGUUAUUAUAUUAUCCUUUUACACAGGUUUAAAGGCCAGUUUAUGACUGAAAGGGAAUAUCUGCAAACAGUAGGUUCCUGAUUCUAAUUUGCAUGUAAAUUAAACAUUUCAGAAUAUGACUGUGAUUUCUGAAUACACACAAAGUAUGCUGUUUUGAUUCCUGGAAAAUAAAAAUCCAUAACAUUAAUAAGAAGAUGAUUUAUACAGUGGCUUUUUUAUCUUACCAAUUUCUGUUCAUUUGAGUCUUUCUUUUUGAAAGCUUCUGUGGCAAUGGCUGAUUAUUCCUGCUGUAAUGUGGAACAGUAUGAGGCAAAACCGCACUUAUUUCCAUCCACAUUAAUAGAGAACUCUCAGGUUAAAUUCUGGCUGAAGCCCAGCACUGUAGGCUGCAUUCCCACUGCUGGAGCUGCUCUUCCUGUAUACUAAUGAAGACAUGAUGCAGGGAGUGAACCACAGGACACUUGUGUCUGGAAGGAGGAAGUUUGUGGCUGUUUGAAGGGAGAAGAAGUAUCUUCAAAGGCUUUGGAGCUUGAGGUCUGUAUCUG